rnacentral:rRNA from 1 species
GACGAACGCUGGCGGCGUGCUUAACACAUGCAAGUCGAACGGAAAGGCCCUGCUUUUGUGGGGUGCUCGAGUGGCGAACGGGUGAGUAACACGUGAGUAACCUGCCCUUGACUUUGGGAUAACUUCAGGAAACUGGGGCUAAUACCGGAUAGGAGCUCCUGCUGCAUGGUGGGGGUUGGAAAGUUUCGGCGGUUGGGGAUGGACUCGCGGCUUAUCAGCUUGUUGGUGGGGUAGUGGCUUACCAAGGCUUUGACGGGUAGCCGGCCUGAGAGGGUGACCGGGCAGAGUGGGAGAGAGAGACCGGAGGGGCGGCGGCGGGAGGAAGAAGGGGGGAGUGUGGGUGGAUGGGCGGAGGGUGCAGGCAGGCAGGGCGCGUGAGGGAGGGGGGGGGGAGGGGGGUGGAACGCGAGCGACUGUGAAGGAGCGUGAGUGAGGGUAAUGGAUAAAGAAACAAGGGAAAACUAGAUG